UACGUAGGGAGCGAGCGUUGUCCGGAAUGACUGGGCGUAAAGGGCGCGUAGGCGGCUGUGUAAGUUUGGAGUGAAAGUCCCGUUUUCAAGAUGGGAAUUGCUUUGAAAACUGCACAGCUUGAGUGAUGGAGAGGAUAGCGGAAUUCCCGGUGUAGCGGUGAAAUGCGUAGAGAUCGGGAGGAACACCAGUGGCGAAGGCGGCUAUCUGGACAUAAACUGACGCUGAGGCGCGAAAGCGUGGGUAGCAAAC
rnacentral:rRNA from 1 species